UCAACUUGUUUUCCAGGAAAACAUUUUGUAAGAAAAUAUUUUUCAUGGAAAACAUUUUCCUUCAUACCAAACACACCUACAGUGUUUCACUGAAGAUCUAGAUUUUCAACCUUAAAACUUCAUCACUUUUGAAGGAUUUUGUGGAAUAGAGUUUAUAAGGUAGAAAUUUAUAUCUUUAAAGCUCUGGGUUUAUUUCAUGUGGGGAAAACAUACCUUUUUUAAUUAGUAACUGAAAAAAUAUUUGGGUUUAUUACCUGCUUGUUUUUAUGUGGGUUUUGCUGCUUCUACCGAGGGAAGUACUGAAUUGCAUACUAUUGAAAACUGGAGUUUUCAGACUUUUGGGUUUAGUGGUGUGAGGCCGAGGAGUAAUCGGUAUCUUCAUAAUGUUUCUCAUAAUUAUGUGGUUGUGAAGCCUCCUAUUGUUCAGGAUUCUGGACAUAAAUAUCAUAAGAGUCUUGGUUUGGAUUUCGAAAUUGGUGGUCCAGCUUUAUUUUGUGUUGUUUUUGUAGCUUUUAGUUGUUUUUUUUCAAGAAAUGGAAGAGUGUUUGCUUAGAGAAGUACUUGAAAGCUGAGCUUGUUGCUGGACUGAGGUUGCAUAAUACAGAUUAUUGGCCAUCAAAUCUUCAUAGACACCACAAGCUUUAAGAGGGAAAAAUCUUUUAAAUUCUUCCGGCUCAACUCAUUCUUCGGUUCAUGAAAAGGUUCAGGUGCUCAGUCUCAGCGUGACAGUGAUAUCCGAGCAUCUCAUCUACAUCUUUAUCUUUGGUGAGUCCUUAUAGUUCAAUGACCUAUAUCUGUAGCUUUUCCACUUUCAUAGUAUUUUGAGCAUUACUUUUUGAUCAGUUCGAUUCAGUUGGGGGUUUGUUCCAAUGACUCUUUAGUUUGAGUAGUAGAGACUUUGCCAGACUAGACUAUCAGUGAUGUUUAAGACUUAUCAGUAUGUUGCUAUUCAGAAAGUAUUCUUUUGUUAUUUCAAUCAAGAUAUGAUAUGACAGUAUGCUUGUUUUUC